CCUACGGGUGGCAGCAGUGAGGAAUAUUGGUCAAUGGACGCAAGUCUGAACCAGCCAUGCCGCGUGCAGGAGGACGGCCCUAUGAGUUGUAAACUGCUUUUGUACGGGGGUAAACGCAGAUACGCGUAUCUGUCUGAAAGUACCGUACGAAUAAGGAUCGGCUAACUCCGUGCCAGCAGCCGCGGUAAUACGGAGGAUUCAAGCGUUAUCCGGAUUUAUUGGGUUUAAAGGGUGCGUAGGCGGUCGGUUAAGUUAGAGGUGAAAUCCCGAGGCUCAACCUCGGAAUUGCCUUUGAAACGGGUCGGCUAGAGAGUAGUAGCGGUAGGCGGAAUGGGUGGUGUAGCGGUGAAAUGCUUAGAGAUCAUACAGAACACCGAUUGCGAAGGCAGCUUACCAGGCUACUUCUGACGUUGAGGCACGAAAGCGUGGGGAGCAAACAGGAUUAGAUACCCUGGUAGUC
rnacentral:rRNA from 1 species